rnacentral:rRNA from 1 species
UACGAAGGGGGCUAGCGUUGUUCGGAAUUACUGGGCGUAAAGCGCGCGCAGGCGGUUUCUCAAGUCAGUGGUGAAAGCCCGGAGCUCAACUCCGGAACUGCCAUUGAAACUGUGAAACUUGGAGACGAGAGAGGUGAGUGGAAUUCCCAGUGUAGAGGUGAAAUUCGUAGAUAUUGGGAAGAACACCGGUGGCGAAGGCGGCUCACUGGCUCGUAACUGACGCUCAUGCACGACAGCGUGGGGAUCAAACAGG